UUGUGGCUCUUGCCGGGAAAAAUAAAGCUGAUUUGGAAGAUAAGAGGAAAGUGACAGCUGAAGAGGCACGUGUAUAUGCCGAGGAAAAUGGACUCUUUUUCAUGGAGACCUCUGCCAAAACUGCUGUCAAUGUCAAUGACAUAUUUUUCGAAAUAGCCAAAAGGUUGCCUAGGGUUCGGCCUGCUCAGAAUCCGGCAGGAAUGGUUCUUGUGGACAGACCUGCAGAAGGAUCCCGAGCUGCAUGAUCAUGCUGUUCAUAAAGUUUUCUCAAACAUCAGUUCUAGGUCUGUCCGUUUUCUGUCUGUUCUUUGGUCUGCUUGAUCUGGAAAUUAAUUAAAUGGCACUGUAUUUUGGAAGUGAACCAAGUCUGCGGAACCAAUACUCCAUUUUUUUCAAAAUAUGCAUGGACAUGACCAUAUUUAAAUCAAUCCUUUUAGUUUUGGAUUGUGCAAUGUGCAGUGCACAAAGUAAAUGCAUCAAGGUUUAAAUUUGUUUAACCAUAGAAGUAAAGUAUUCCC